rnacentral:rRNA from 1 species
CGGCGUGCCUAACACAUGCAAGUCGAACGGAGCUAUUAUGGAAGUACCUUCGGGUGCGGAAGUUUUAGCUUAGCGGCGGACGGUGAGUAACGCGUGAGUAACCUGCCCAUAAGAGGGGGAUAACAACCGGAAACGGUUGCUAAUACCGCAUAUUAUGCUUUUGUCGCAUGACAGAGGUAUGAAAGAUUUAUCGCUUAUGGAUGGACUCGCGUCCAAUUAGCUAGUAGGUGAGGUAACGGCCCACCUAGGCGACGAUUGGUAGCCGAACUGAGAGGUUGAUCGGCCACAUUGGGACUGAGACACGGCCCAGACUCCUACGGGAGGCAGCAGUGGGGAAUAUUGCACAAUGGGGGAAACCCUGAUGCAGCAACGCCGCGUGAGUGAUGACGGCCUUCGGGUUGUAAAGCUCUGUCUUCAGGGACGAUAAUGACGGUACCUGAGGAGGAAGCCACGGCUAACUACGUG